rnacentral:misc_RNA from 1 species
AACCAUAAUUAAAUCAUCCAAAAAAUUAAAGGUAACACAUGCCUUGGUACCACCAUCAAAAGUGUUAGCUCUACACAGCCUGGUAUAGAUUUCUCUCCUACUAAUAUUUCUUGGCAAAUCAUCACCAAGAACUCUUUGAAUAAGACGAACAUAAUUCGUAGGCAAUUUAGAUUCCCAUACAAAAUCAGCCCAAGAAGCUCCACGAAAUGCUCUGUUCAAUCUUGCUAAUUUGCAUAUCUCUGGCGGGUCUAAAUAAGCAAUAAUCGAAGCAACACAGCUUUCUGGUAAGUCUCCAAGAGUUGGGUUUGACGUUGUUGAUUGAGACGAUAAAUAACCAUAAAGAGACAAAGCAUUCGGGUCUACGAACACAGAAGAAAGAUUAGCACCCAUGAAGAGAAGAAGAAACAGAGAGGGACUAGACAGUUCUUCUCUCAGCUUUAAUGGAGAAAGGAGAGAGAGGUGGCAAAGAGGAAGGCAAAGGGUAUUUGUAGAGAGACGCGUAUACCAUUUGAAGAUUGUUUGUCUGCUUUGAUUUUGGUUUUGGUAAUGUUCUUUCUCUUUUUCAAUGAGAGAGAGAGAGAGAUAGAGAGAGAGAG